UAAAGAAGAUUAUCGUCGCGACCUGACUGCAUGCCAAAGUUAUGUAUCAUAAGAGGAAAAUCUGUUCAUACAUUCACAAAUAUGUUUUCUCCUGAUCUGUCUGUAGGAAAAUGUCUCCGUGAGGGGAGAGGGAGAGGCAGUAAUCGCAGAGAAGCUGAAAGGAAGCGACAGGCAGAAGCAGGACCUCUGCUGAGAUUUCGUCAAGCAGGAUGCAUGCAAUACAGAGAUGGACGCAACUCCAGUGUAAUUGUGAGUAGUGCUCAGCCAUGCUGGCAUCAUGCAGCAGGAGCACGAAUGGCCAUAUCUAGCAGGGAAGAGGGAAUGAACAGUGUCCACCUACCACACUCCAGAAAACACUCCGUCAGAGAUCAGAAAGAUGUAACCGAAGUGACAAAUUUCAGGGCUCAAGAACACUGCCUGCGUACUUAUGGCACUCACCAAACCAUCUUUCGAUAAUAAAUGUGUUGGGAAAAAUAAAUGAGGACAGAUUUGUGAUUUGCUGUUAAACAGCUACAAAAUUUUCCAACUUUUGCACUUGGCAAAUAGUUCCUACCUGAUCGGAGAACGCAGUGCUCAGAGCUGCACUCAGGCAGUUCUGCACGUGUGCUAGGCUGGCUGUCAAUGA